UGUGCAUGGUAUACCUUUUCUGCUUCCCUAGAGUGUUUUGCUGUGUGUGGAUAAAGAUCAAAUGACUGUCUGUCUACAGAUGCCAACAGAACUUGGACAUUUACUUUGAAGACCAAAGAGAUUGGAGCCAUUUAUAGGAUCAUAGUGCAAAAUUCCAUAUGUGCUUGUGAAGUUCCUUAGUAUCCUUGGAACAACACAGAAGUGAUGUCUGAGAUCCCAAACCAACUCCCUGGAACCCUCACACUCAUCUUCAGGGCAGAGCUGAGGGAUGGCUCCAUUGAAGAGCACACCAGAUGUAAUUGCCAAAAAAAUUGUGUGUUGAGAGAAAUAUUGCAACAUGGGUAUGGCCACUCACAAAGGAUCAAAUGCCCAGAAUGCAAACAGGUUGCCUACCCCAAGGAAAGGGUUUGGAAACUGGAACAUAGCUUUCUAGUCUACAUUCUGAGGAGCAGGUUAAAGGGUUUGUAUGUUUCUCCAUCGUCUGUGUUGCACUUACUCAACCCUUCGCUUCACCAUUUCAAAAGCAGGACUUCAAAGUAUCAGGCACAGAGGAACUACAGCCACAUCACAGCUGUUCUUGCUUCUUUCCCUUUUUCAACAACAACAGUGCAGAUUGAAGACUCAUCUUCUGGGAUCUCUAGUACGGGGUAAUUCUACAUGAGGGUACAAAACCUGUCCAUGGAAGCUCACAUUAAAAUAU